CCUCUGCUGUUACAGGAAAUAUGACCCCCUUCCCUCUAAUUUAUUAUAAUUUUGAAAUUAAGGGACUUUCAGGCAAAGAUAUGGGAAAAGAAAUA